UAAAACACGAAUGGAAUGCAUUGUUUGUGUCAGAGGAGUUAAGGAGAGGCAUUUUCUUCUACGUCAUCAGCAGCCUGAUGAUGUCUGCAUGCAGGUUUUUCCAAGUAUCCACACUGUGUUUAUUUUAGACAAGCUCCCUAUAAAAGAACCCACCAGGGCCCCAAGCAUCACACCAUCAAGCUCCAGCUUGUCUGCUUUGCUUCCGUGUUUUCCAGAGCUUUGGAGAUCUGACCCAUCCGUCCACCAUGAGGGCUCUUUACCUGGCCAUCGUUGUCAUGAUGCUGAUUGCCACUGCCAUGGUUGAAGGAUACAAAGGCCCAAGCUGUUCUACCUAUGGAGGCUCGUGUAAUCCAAAGGGCUGUGCAAAGGGCUAUACCUCCUACUCUACCCACGACUGCAAGUACUGCUGUGUUUCCCCCUACUACUACAAGGGCUGAAGGGUGAUGGCGAUGCCAGGAGUUGACAAGGGCUGCGAGAACAUCACCCCACUGCUCAGCUGUCAAGAAGGCAUUCUGUCUGUUCCUCUUCAAUAAAUGCACAUGAAUGCUCA